rnacentral:rRNA from 1 species
AAAUUUGCCCGUAUUAUUGGAUUUUAUAUCUUCCCAUUUUCAAAAGAGAAAAACCGUCUCCACUUGUGAACAAAUAAUAGAGGUUAGUAUAUCAAGAAUUUGUUCCUUUAAAAUAUUGCUACACACUUCUCGGAGGGUUUUUCUAAGAUGUCAAACUUGCCGAUUAACGUUGAUUUAUCCACUUGGGGUUUCGUUAUGUAAAAUGGCGGCAAU